rnacentral:rRNA from 1 species
AUUGAACGCUGGCGGCAUGCUUUACACAUGCAAGUCGAACGGUAACAGGGUGCUUGCACCGCUGACGAGUGGCGAACGGGUGAGUAAUGCGUAGGCACGUGCCGAGUAGUGGGGGAUAACGCAGCGAAAGUUGUGCUAAUACCGCAUACGUACUGAGGUAGAAAGUCGGGGACCUUCGGGCCUCACGCUAUUCGAGCGGCCGACGUCUGAUUAGCUAGUAGGUGAGGUAAAGGCUCACCUAGGCGACGAUCAGUAGCGGGUCUGAGAGGAUGAUCCGCCACACUGGGACUGAGACACGGCCCAGACUCCUACGGGAGGCAGCAGUGGGGAAUUUUGGACAAUGGGCGAAAGCCUGAUCCAGCCAUGCCGCGUGUCUGAAGAAGGCCUUCGGGUUGUAAAGGACUUUUGUCAGGGAGGAAAGCCCUAGUGCUAAUAACACUGGGGGAUGACAGUACCUGAAGAAUAAGCACCGGCUAACUACGUGCCAGCCGCCGCCGUAA